rnacentral:rRNA from 1 species
UACAGAGGUCUCAAGCGUUGUUCGGAUUCAUUGGGCGUAAAGGGCGCGUAGGCGGCGGGGUAAGUCUGGUGUGAAAUCUCGGAGCUCAACUCCGAAAUUGCACUGGAUACUGCUCUGCUUGAGGGUUGGAGAGGAGAUCGGAAUUCACGGUGUAGCAGUGAAAUGCGUAGAUAUCGUGAGGAAGACCAGUGGCGAAGGCGGAUCUCUGGACAAAUCCUGACGCUGAGGCACGAAGGUCAGGGGAGCAAACGGG